UUCGAUGCAACGCGAAGAACCUUACCUGGUCUUGACAUCCCGGAGACCCUUAGGAACUAGGGGUGCCUCCAUCUGGAAGAAUCUGGAGACAGGUGCUGCAUGGCUGUCGUCAGCUCGUGUCGUGAGAUGUUGGGUUAAGUCCCGCAACGAGCGCAACCCUUGCCUUUAGUUGCCAGCAGUUCGGCUGGGCACUCUAAAGGGACUGCCGGUGUUAAACCGGAGGAAGGUGGGGAUGACGUCAAGUCCUCAUGGCCUUUAUGACCAGGGCUACACACGUACUACAAUGGCCGAUACAAAGGGCAGCGACACUGCGAGGUGAAGCCAAUCCCGUAAAAUCGGUCUCAGUCCGGAUUGGAGUCUGCAACUCGACUCCAUGAAGUUGGAAUCGCUAGUAAUCGUGGAUCAGCAUGCCACGGUGAAUACGUUCCCGGGCCUU
rnacentral:rRNA from 1 species